GUAUCCAUACAUAAGUAAAGUAGUGUAUGAGAGGGGAACGUUGGGAACUGAAACAUCUGAGUACCAACAGGAAGAGAAAGAAAACAAUCGAUUCCUAGAGUAGUGGCGAGCGAAAUAGGAAGAGCCUAAACCAGAAGUAGUAAUACAUCUGGGGUUCGGACCACGAUAUAUUAUCAACAAUUCUAAUAGAAAUGUUUUGGGAAAGCAUACCAUAGAAGGUGAAAGUCCGGUAUAUGAAAGGAAAGUUGAGGUUAGUGGAUUCCAGAGUAGUACGAGACACGAGAAAUCUCGUAUGAAUGAGCGGGGACCAUCCCGUAAGGCUAAAUACUACUUGGUGACCGAUAGUGAACUAGUACCGUGAGGGAAAGGUGAAAAGAACACCGGGAGGGGAGUGAAAUAGAACAUGAAACCCUAUGUUUACAAGCAGACAAAGCACUUUAUAUGUGCGAUGUCGUACUUUUUGUAGAACGGUCCAGCGAGUUAUUGUAUAUGGCAAGGUUAAGUACUAUGUAAGGUACGGAGCCGAAGCGAAAGCGAGUCUGAAAAGGGCGACUUAAGUCAUAUAUAAUAGACCCGAAACUGAGUGACCUAUCCAUGAGCAGGAUGAAGCAAGAGUAAAAUCUUGUGGAGGUCCGAACUGAUUGUCGUUAAAAAGGCACCGGAUGACUUGUGGAUAGCGGAGAAAUUCCAAUCGAACUCAGAGAUAGCUGGUUCUCCUCGAAAUAGCUUUAGGGCUAGCCUUGAGGUUAAAGCAUAUGGGGGUAGAGCACUGAAUGAGGUAGGGGCCUAACCAGGUUACCAAACUCUAUCAAACUCCGAAUACCAUAUAUUAAUACUCAGGAGUCAGACUGCGGGAGCUAAGUUCCGUGGUCAAAAGGAAAACAGUCCAGAUCGUCAAUUAAGGUCCCAAAGAUAUAGCUAAGUGGAAAACGAUGUGAUUUUGCAUAAACAACCAGGAUGUUGGCUCAGAAGCAGCCAUUCAUUCAAAGAGUGCGUAAUAGCUCACUGGUCGAGUGAAGUUGCGCGGAAAAUUACCGGGGCUAAGCUAUACACCGAAAUUGCGGAUUUAUACUUGAAAGACAGUAUAAGUGGUAGAGGAGCAUUCUGUUGUAGGAUGAAGCAUGACCGUAAGGACAUGUGGACGAAGCAGAAGAGAGAAUGCUGGAAUAAGUAGCGAGAGGAUGGUGAGAAUCCAUCCCGUCGAAAGUCUAAGGUUUCCUAGGGAAGGUUCGUCCGCCUAGGGUAAGUCGGGACCUAAGGAGAGGCCGAAAGGCGUAUCUGAUGGAUAGCAGGUUGAAAUUCCUGCACUACGAAUAUACUUAAAAGAUUCAAGGGACGCAGAAGUGGAAGAUAACCAAGUAAGAGGAAAAGCUUGGCUCGCAAGAGGGAGUGAAAAUUAAAAGUAACGAAGUAUCAAGAAGCACGCUGACGAGAAAAGCUUGAAGAUAUUGUAUAUAAGUACCCGUACCGCAAACCGACACAGGUAGAUGAGGAGAGGAUCCUAAGACGAGCGGGAGAAGCAUUGUUAAGGAACUCGGCAAAUUGACCCCGUAACUUCGGAAUAAGGGGUGCUGAUGUAACAGUCAGUCGCAGAGAAAAGGCCCAAGCAACUGUUUAACAAAAACAUAGGUUUCUGCUAAAUCGAAAGAUGAAGUAUAGGAGCUGACGCCUGCCCGGUGCUGGAAGGUUAAGGGGAAAGGUUAGAUUAUAUCAAAGCUUUGAACUGAAGCCCCAGUGAACGGCGGCCGUAACUAUAACGGUCCUAAGGUAGCGAAAUUCCUUGUCAGGUAAGUUCUGACCCG
rnacentral:rRNA from 1 species